rnacentral:tRNA from 1 species
GUUUUUGUGGUUGAUAAACAACGGUGGUUUUUCGGGCCAUAGGUCUUGGUAGCCCCAAGCAAAAAUU